rnacentral:rRNA from 1 species
GGUCAAGUUAUUAAGGGCUUACGGUGGAUGCCUUGGGACCAAGAGCCGAUGAAGGGCGCGGCAAGGCUGCGUUAAGCCUCGAUGAGCCGUCUAGCGGGCAUAGUCGGGGAUACCCGAAUGGGGAAACCUUAUCCGGUGUUGAGUCGGAUAAUCCUUCCUGUAUAAGGGAGGAGGGCAAGUGGGGGAACUGAAACAUCUAAGUACCCCGAGGAAAAUAAAUCAACCGAGAUU